GUGGGGAAUAUUGGGCAAUGGAGGCAACUCUGACCCAGCCAUGCCGCGUGGGUGACGAAGGUCUUCGGAUUGUAAAGCCCUUUCGGCGGGGACGAUGAUGACGGUACCGCAAGAAUAAGCCCCGGCUAACUUCGUGCCAGCAGCCGCGGUAAUACGAAGGGGGCUAGCGUUGCUCGGAAUCACUGGGCGUAAAGGGUGCGUAGGCGGGUUUCUAAGUCAGAGGUGAAAGCCUGGAGCUCAACUCCAGAACUGCCUUUGAUACUGGAAGUCUUGAGUUCGGGAGAGGUGAGUGGAACUGCGAGUGUAGAGGUGAAAUUCGUAGAUAUUCGCAAGAACACCAGUGGCGAAGGCGGCUCACUGGCCCGAUACUGACGCUGAGGCACGAAAGCGUGGGGAGCAAAC
rnacentral:rRNA from 1 species